rnacentral:rRNA from 1 species
GACGAACGCUGGCGGCGUGCUUAACACAUGCAAGUCGAACGGAAAGGCCCUGCUUUUGUGGGGUGCUCGAGUGGCGAACGGGUGAGUAACACGUGAGUAACCUGCCCUUGACUUUGGGAUAACUUCAGGAAACUGGGGCUAAUACCGGAUAGGAGCUCCUGCUGCAUGGUGGGGGUUGGAAAGUUUCGGCGGUUGGGGAUGGACUCGCGGCUUAUCAGCUUGUUGGUGGGGUAGUGGCUUACCAAGGCUUUGACGGGUAGCCGGCCUGAGAGGGUGACCGGCCACAUUGGGACUGAGAGACGGCCCAGACGCCUACGGGAGGCAGAAGUGGGGAAGAUUGAACAAUGGGCGGAAGCCUGAUGAAGCAACGCCGCGUGCGGGAGGACGGCCUUCGGGUUGUAAAACGCUUUCGCCUGUGACGAAGCGUGAGUGACGGUAAUGGGUAAAGAAGCACCGGCUAACUACGUGC